AUUGAACGCUGGCGGCAUGCUUUACACAUGCAAGUCGAACGGAUCUAGGGGCUUGCUCCUAGGUUAGUGGCGAACGGGUGAGUAAUGCAUCGGAACGUACCGUGUAGUGGGGGAUAACCCGGCGAAAGUCGGAUUAAUACCGCAUACGAUCUACGGAUGAAAGCGGGGGACCUUCGGGCCUCGCGCUAUACGAGCGGCCGAUGUCGGAUUAGCUAGUUGGUGAGGUAAAGGCUCACCAAGGCGACGAUCCGUAGCGGGUCUGAGAGGAUGAUCCGCCACACUGGGACUGAGACACGGCCCAGACUCCUACGGGAGGCAGCAGUGGGGAAUUUUGGACAAUGGACGCAAGUCUGAUCCAGCCAUGCCGCGUGAGUGAAGAAGGCCUUCGGUUGUAAGGUACUCUUUUGUUCUAGGGAGGCAAAUACCUGUCCUGCUAAUACUAGGCGGGGAGUGAGGAGUACCUGAAGAAUAAGGAACCGGACGUAACUAACGUUA
rnacentral:rRNA from 1 species